GGUUAGUUGGAGCGGCGCAAGGGUGCGUAACACGUGGGUAAUCUGCCAUGAAGUUUGGGAUAACUCGCUGAAAGGCGAGCUAAUACCGGAUGUGACGAUUGGAAGGCAUCUUCUGAUCUUCAAAGUUGGGGACCGUAAGGCCUGACGCUUCAUGAUGAGCCCGCGGCCUAUCAGCUAGUUGGUGAGGUAACGGCUCACCAAGGCUAAGACGGGUAGCUGGUCUGAGAGGACGACCAGCCACACUGGAACUGAGACACGGUCCAGACACCUACGGGUGGCAGCAGUCGAGAAUUUUUCACAAUGGGGGAAACCCUGAUGGAGCGACGCCGCGUGGGGGAUGAAUGGCUUCGGCCCGUAAACCCCUGUCAUUCGCGAACAAUGCCUGUGUAUUAACACCAUACAGGUUGAUAGUAGCGGAAGAGGAAGGGACGGCUAACUCUGUGCCAGCAGCCGCGGUAAUACAGAGGUCCCAAGCGUUGUUCGGAUUCACUGGGCGUAAAGGGUGCGUAGGCGGUCGGGUAAGUCUGAUGUGAAAUCUCACAGCUUAACUGUGAAACUGCAUUGGAUACUAUUCGGCUUGAGGUCUGGAGGGGGGACUGGAAUUCUCGGUGUAGCA
rnacentral:rRNA from 1 species